rnacentral:rRNA from 1 species
CACAGUGCCCUGAAUGCAUCUAUCUUGUCAGAUUUAGGAAGCUCAGUAGGGUUGGGUCUGGUUAGUACUUGGAUGGGAGAUAAUGAGGGAAUACCAGGUA